rnacentral:lncRNA from 1 species
UUUAUAACCUCAAAUGUUUCCUCACCAAGAGCUAUAAAUUGCUUAAAUCACUUAAAUUGGAGAUUUCAGUGGGAUUUUUAGCAGUAAAUAAAUUCCUAAACUCGUCAGUUAUAGAAUAUUCGAGGCAUAUAGAAGUGUUCUUUUCCUACACAGCAUAUCCAAAAUGGAGUUUAACCAGUGGUUCACAAGGCAAAUAGCAAAGCUGCAAACCACUUAGGGAGCCAUAAAUUACGAAUAUCUACGCUUUCGAAAACCUGUCAGUUGGUAUCAAUCUUUUUAUUUUUGAAGUAUGACUGCUAUGAAAUGACCACAUUCAUUAGCAUGCCACCUAAAAAGCAUUAAUUUGUAGAAUAAAUCAAUCAAGUUUUCUUGAGCUCUUGAAGUAUAAUAUAGUUCCUUCAUUUAAGAAUAUUUCCUGGGGCAGGCCCUGUGGCCCAGUGGUUAAGUUUGCGCGCUCCGCUUCAGAGGCCCAGGGUUUUGCUGGUUCAGAUCCUGAGCCCUGACAUGGCACCUCUCAUCAGACCAUGUUGAGGUGGCAUCCCACAUGCCACAACUCAAAGAACCCACAACUAAAAAUACGCAACUAUGUACCAGGGGGCUUUGGGGAGAAAAAGGAAAAAUAAAACCUUUAAAAACAAGCAAACAAACAGAAUAUUUCCUUUAAUUUAUUCACAGAAUAUUAGGCAUAUUUUACAUGACUGCCUGCACUUACAAUUUAGUUAAUAGAGCAGAAAUUCUCCAACAUUGUAACAGACCAAGUGAUGCCCACUUACAGCCAUAAAAAUACAAGUUGGGAGAAAGAUUUAGUACUUUGAUGUUAGAAUUGAUCCAGAGGCACAGAAGGAUUUUAUGGAUGUUCAGGGGAAAGCAGAAAGGGCCUCCUCUCUAUUAAAGAGAGUUUUUAAACCUCUGAUGUAUACAUCUCUCUGAAACGCACUCUCAGAAGAGGAAGUUGUCCUAAAGAAGAGAAUCCUUCUAGGUUUUGAGCUCAUUCUUUCUCCAGGUGGCCUGUUCUAUUCUUGGACAAGCUUUUCUUGCUAGAAAAGUCUUUCUACCCUGAGCCAAAAUCUGUGUCCCCUAACUUCACACAGUUGGCCCACUUCCAAGCUCUGGAGACUUCUAGGCCUUCUUCAGCCAGGCCGCAGGCGCCAGUCCACGGGCACAGCACGCCAGCUCUCUCCUUGUCCGCAGCACAGCACGCCGUCACAGCAGGCUCGGCGACAUCCAGGUCGGAACCCACGACAUCGCCCGCUCCGAAUCCACGUGGCUGGCGGGCCCUCAAUUCGCGCGGCUUUCUCGUAACACAUCGGAGAAUAUUUUCGGCGGAGACGCUGGGACACCGGCGAGGACGCGUCGAGGCUGCCCCGGGGCUCUCGGCGCCCGCAGGCACAGGGCGCAGACGCGGCUCGGCC